GCCGCGGUCGCAUAACCUGGUAGUGCGCCAGCCUCGAGAGCUGGUGCCCGAAAGGGCUUCCCGGUUCAAAUCCGGGUCGCGGCG
rnacentral:tRNA from 1 species